UGCUUUUUCAACUGAAGAAUAUUUUAAAAUACCUUGUUCUGCUUUGGUUAUAUACUCCCUCCUACUAAUUUUGACUCGUACUACACUAAUUCUGAUGCGGAAUAUUAAGGCUGUAAGGUUUCAAAGGCCAAAUCUAUAUAUAUCGAUAUUACGAUAAUGGAACGGAAUGGAUAUGGGGAACAUAAUAAGGUGCAGGGUGUAGCUCUCAUACAUCAUAAUCAUCAAUUCAACAUAGCUGGUCAUAUGGCUUUCGUACAGGACAAAUCUGCCAAACCCAGGGACAACAUAUAAUCAGAAAAUGAUUGAUACUCAUGGUACCUAGUUGACCUAUAUAUCCUUGGUUAUUCCAUAUCAUGGAUUUAGUCCUAGCGAACCUAAAGGACCCAGUUCUCGCAAAAUGCGCGAGAACAGGGUCCAAAAAUAUGUAUGCUUUUGUUUUACAGCCCACAGCAGCA
rnacentral:sRNA from 1 species